UACGUAGGGGGCGAGCGUUGUCCGGAUUUAUUGGGCGUAAAGAGCUCGUAGGCGGUUUGGUAAGUCGGGUGUGAAAUCUCCACGCUCAACGUGGAGGGGCCACUCGAUACUGCCAUGACUCGAGUCCGGUAGAGGAGUGUGGAAUUCCCGGUGUAGCGGUGAAAUGCGCAGAUAUCAGGAGGAACACCAAUGGCGAAGGCAGCUCGCUGGGACGGUACUGACGCUGAGGCGCGAAAGCGUGGGGAGCAAACAGG
rnacentral:rRNA from 1 species